rnacentral:rRNA from 1 species
UACGUAGGGGGCAAGCGUUGUCCGGAAUCAUUGGGCGUAAAGCGCGCGUAGGCGGCCAGACAAGUCCGGUGUGAAAGUCACAGGCUCAACCUGUGAAUGCCGCUGGAAACUGUCUGGCUAGAGUCCGGAAGGGGCGAGUGGAAUUCCUGGUGUAGCGGUGGAAUGCGCAGAUAUCAGGAAGAACACCAACGGCGAAGGCAGCUCGCUGGGACGGUACUGACGCUGAGACGCGAAAGCGUGGGGAGCGAACAGG